rnacentral:lncRNA from 1 species
AACUGACUUCUGCGCGGGGCGCGGUGGGGUUCUGCGGGGUCGGAAAGACUCCCCAGAUCCCCGCGCGGCCCCAGACCCAGACUUACCUGGGCCCUCCCUGGGCCCUGACCCAGGAGGCGCGGAGCACUGCAACUUCUCUCGCCCCCUGGGUCGCAGCCGCCUUGCCCUUGGCUAAGAGAGAGGGGCUAGGGACGCCCGCGGCCCCGGAGCCGGAUGGGAAUUGUAGUUCGCUCUCUCCAUGGUUUGCCCGCGCUUGGCACCCAUCGCCCCCCCGCCCCCGCCCAAAAAAAAGUUUCUGAAUCUUACUUUGAUUGUAUCAUUAGAGUUGAUGUGGGAGACAGGAAGUUGGGGUAGGGAUGGUCACGCCCAUUUGGCAGAUGGACACACUGAGGCUUGGGAAGGAGGAAGGCGAAUUGAGGGGCUGAGGACAAGGUGGCUCUUAAGUUAGACCCUGGGGUGGAGGUGGAGCUGGGCUGGUACCAACACCACAGGCGUUUUAAGCUUCAGUAGGAGCAGGGCCUGAGGUCUGACCUGGAACGUGAAGGGCAAGGAGAGGUCUGAGAUAGGCUGGAGGAGGUUGGGGAGGGGAGGGGCUGGCUCUGUCCAGUGGUAUUUCUGAUUUCUGUCCAGCUGGGAUGGACCAGGCACCAUGAGGAGAGAUCAAAGGGUGGGACAUAUUGGUGGCUUCAGACAACACUUUUUUUUUUUUUUUUUUGAGACAGGGUCUCUCUGUCACCCAUGCUGGAGUGCAGUGAUGCAAUCAUAACUCACUGCAGCCUUGACCUCUUAGGCUCCUGCCUCAGCCUCUUGAGUAGCUGGGAUUACAGGCAGAUGCCACCACACCCAGCUGAUUUUUUAUUUUACUUUUUGGAGUCAAGGGUUAUUGUUAUGUUGACCAGGCUGGUCUCGAACUCCUGGGCUCAGGUAAUCCUCCCACCUUGGCCUCCCGGAGUUCUGGGAUUACAGACAUGGGCAACUACACCCGGCCUAGACAACACUUCUUUCUCUUUUUUGAGACAGGGUCUCACUCUGUCCCCUAGGCUGGAGUGCAGUGGUGCAAUCGUAGCUCACCACAGCCUCAACCUCCUGGGUUCAAGUGAUCCUCCCACCUCAGCCUCCCGAAUAGCUGAGACUACAGGCUCACACCACUAGGCCAGGCUGAUGUUUUGUUUUUUGAGAUGGUGUCUCACGCUGUCACCCAGGCCAGAGUGCAGUGGCACGAUCUCGGCUCACUGCAACCUCUGCCUCCCAGGUUCAAGAGAGUCUCCUGCCUCAGCCUCCCAAGUAGCUGGGAUUAUAGGCAUGUGCCACCACACCCAGCUAAUUUUUGUAUUUUUAGUAGAGAUAGGGUUUUGCCAUGUUGGCCAGGCUGAUCUCAAACUCCUGACUUCAGGUGAUCCUUCUGCCUCGGCCUCCCAAAGUGCUGGGAUUACAUGCGUGAGUCACUGGGCCCAGCCAUGUUUGUAUUUUUUAUAGAGAUGGGGUUUCGCCAUGUUGCCUAGGCUGAUCUCAAACUCCUGGACUCAAGUGAUCUGCCUGCCUCAGCCU